GGGGAUGUGACUCAAUGGUAGAGUUCUUGCCUUGCAUGCACAAGACCCUGGGUUAGAUCCCAGCACUCUA
rnacentral:tRNA from 1 species